CUCUUCCCAGGCCCAGGCUCGUCCGCCGGUUCCGCCUCCAGAGAGUGACGUCAAUACGCGGCGUCGGAGCUGCUGCCAUCUUGUGGUUGGAUCUGUCACCCCAUUAACCAGACAGCAUUUUUACCUGUGAACCAAGUGGCAGAAGCAGACGACUGAUAUUUUAAGGAGAAGGAAAGGAGCAAGGCAUUAUGGGAACUUUCUUUACAGAACUCAGCG